GACAGAGGGUGCAAACGUUGCUCGGAAUUACUGGGCGUAAAGGGCGCGUAGGCGGCGUGUCAAGUCAGGCGUGAAAGCCCCGGGCUCAACCUGGGAACCGCGCUUGAGACUGGCAUGCUCGAGUUCGGGAGAGGAUGGUGGAAUUCCCAGUGUAGAGGUGAAAUUCGUAGAUAUUGGGAAGAACACCGAUGGCGAAGGCAGCCAUCUGGACCGACACUGACGCUGAGGCGCGAAAGCGUGGGGAGCAAACAGG
rnacentral:rRNA from 1 species